rnacentral:rRNA from 1 species
AACGCUGGCGGCGUGCUUAACACAUGCAAGUCGAGUGCGCGCCUGUAGCAAUACAGGUGGCGCACGGCGCACGGGUGCGUAACACGUGGGCAAUCUGCCCUCGGAUGGGGGAUAACUCGCCGAAAGGCGAGCUAAUACCGCAUGACAUUCCGAAGACUCCGGUCUUUGGACUCAAAGGCCGCAAGGCCGUCUGAGGAGGAGCCCGCGCCCGAUUAGCUAGUUGGUGAGGUAACGGCUCACCAAGGCUUUGAUCGGUAGCCGGUCUGAGAGGAUGGCCGGCCACACUGGAACUGAGACACGGUCCAGACUCCUACGGGAGGCAGCAGUGGGGAAUAUUGCGCAAUGGGCGAAAGCCUGACGCAGCGACGCCGCGUGGGGGAUGAAGCUUCUCGGAGUGUAAACCCCUUUCGACCCGGACGAAUGACCCGCAAGGGUUUGACGGUACGGGUACAAGAAGCCCCGGCUAACUACGUGCCAGCAGCCGCGGUAAUACGUAGGGGGCCAGCGUUGCUCGGAAUUACUGGGCGUAAAGGGUUCGUAGGUGGUGCGGCAAGUUGGAAGUGAAAUCUCUGGGCUUAACCCAGAGGCUGCUUUCAAAACUGCCGCGCUCGAGUGCGAGAGAGGCCAGUGGAAUUGCAGGUGUAGCGGUGAAAUGCGUAGAUAUCUGCAGGAACACCCGUGGCGAAGGCGGCUGGCUGGAUCGCAACUGACACUGAGGAACGAAAGCUAGGGGAGCAAACAGGAUUAGAUACCCUGGUAGUCCUAGCCCUAAACCAUCAGAACUUGGGGUGGCCCGCGUAGGCGGGUCGUCCCGUAGCUAACGCGUUAAGUUCCGCGCCUGGGGAGUACGGUCGCAAGACUGAA